rnacentral:rRNA from 1 species
UACGGAGGAUGCGAGCGUUAUCCGGAUUUAUUGGGUUUAAAGGGUGCGUAGGCGGAUCGUUAAGUCAGUGGUCAAAUUGAGGGGCUCAACCCCUUCCCGCCAUUGAAACUGGCGCUCUUGAGUGGAAGAGAAGUAUGCGGAAUGCGUGGUGUAGCGGUGAAAUGCAUAGAUAUCAUGCAGAACCCCGAUUGCGAAGGCAGCAUGCCGGCUUCCGACUGACGCUGAAGCACGAAAGCGUGGGGAUCGAACAGG